GGACGUGGAUAACCUCGGGAAACUGAGGAUAAACCGCGAUAGGCCAAGGUUUCUGGAAUGGACCAUGGCUGAAAUCUAUAUGGCCCCUGGAUUGGACUGCGGCCGAUCAGGCUGUUGGUGAGGUAAUGGCCCACCAAACCUGUAACCGGUACGGGCUUUGAGAGAAGGAGCCCGGAGAUGGGCACUGAGACAAGGGCCCAGGCCCUAUGGGGCGCAGCAGGCGCGAAACCUCUGCAAUAGGCGAAAGCCUGACAGGGUUACCCUGAGUGAUGCCCGCUAAGGGCAUCUUUUGGCACCUCUAAAAAUGGUGCAGAAUAAGGGGUGGGCAAGUCUGGUGUCAGCCGCCGCGGUAAUACCAGCACCCCGAGUGGUCGGGACGAUUAUUGGGCCUAAAGCAUCCGUAGCUUGUUCUGCAAGUCCUCCGUUAAAUCCACCUGCUCAACAGAUGGGCUGCGGAGGAUACUACAGGGCUAGGAGGCGGGAGAGGCAAGCGGUACUCAGUGGGUAGGGGUAAAAUCCUCUGAUCCACCGAAGACCACCAGUGGCGAAGGCGGCUUGCCAGAACGCGCUCGACGGUGAGGGAUGAAAGCUGGGGGAGCAAACCGGAUUAGAUACCCGGGUAGUCCCAGCUGUAAACGAUGCAGACUCGGUGAUGGGUUGGCUUCGCGCCAACCCAGUGCCGCAGGGAAGCCGUUAAGUCUGCCGCCUGGGGAGUACGGUCGCAAGACUGAAACUUAAAGGAAUUGGCGGG
rnacentral:rRNA from 1 species